GAGAGAUACAGGGUUAGGGGUCAACUGGACCUGAUAGAGAGAGAUACAGGGUUAGGGGUCAACUGGACCUGAUAGAGAGAGAUACAGGGUUAGGGGUCAACUGGACCUGAUAGAGAGAGAUACAGGGUUAGGGGUCAACUGGACCUGAUAGAGAGAGAUACAGGGUUAGGGGUCAGCUGGACCUGAUAGAGAGAGAUACAGGGUUAGGGGUCAACUGGACCUGAUAGAGAGAGAUACAGGGUUAGAGGUCAACUGGACCUGAUAGAGAGAGAUACAGGGUUAGGGGUCAACUGGACCUGAUAGAGAGAGAUACAGGGUUAGGGGUCAACUGGACCUGAUAGAGAGAGAUACAGGGUUAGGGGUCAACUGGACCUGAUAGAGAGAGAUACAGGGUUAGGGGUCAACUGGACCUGAUAGAGAGAGAUACAGGGUUAGGGGUCAACUGGACCUGAUAGAGAGAGA